AACCUCCGCAAUGUGAGAAAUCGCGACGGGGGGAUCCCAAGUGCCAUUCUUAACGGGAUGGCUUUUCAUUAGUGUAAAGAGCUUUUGGAAUAAGAGCUGGGCAAGACCGGUGCCAGCCGCCGCGGUAACACCGGCAGCUCUAGUGGUAGCAAUUUUUAUUGGGCCUAAAGCGUCCGUAGCCGGUUUAAUAAGUCUCUGGUGGAAUCCUGUAGCUUAACUGUGGGAAUUGCUGGAGAUACUAUUAGACUUGAGACCGGGAGAGGUUAGAGGUACUCCCAGGGUAGAGGUGAAAUUCUGUAAUCCUGGGAGGACCGCCUGUUGCGAAGGCGUCUAACUGGAACGGUUCUGACGGUGAGGGACGAAAGUUAGGGGCGCGAACCGGAUUAGAUACCCGGGUAGUCCUAACUGUAAACGAUGCGGACUUGGUGUUGGGGUGGCUUUGAGCUGCUCCAGUGCCGAAGGGAGCUGUUAAGUCCGCCGCCUGGGAGGUACGGUCGCAAGACUGAAACUUAAAGGAAUU
rnacentral:rRNA from 1 species